rnacentral:rRNA from 1 species
AUUGAACGCUGGCGGCAGGCCUAACACAUGCAAGUCGAGCGGUAACACAGGGAGCUUGCUCCUGGGUGACGAGCGGCGGACGGGUGAGUAAUGUCUGGGAAACUGCCUGAUGGAGGGGGAUAACUACUGGAAACGGUAGCUAAUACCGCAUAAUGUCGCAAGACCAAAGAGGGGGACCUUCGGGCCUCUUGCCAUCAGAUGUGCCCAGAUGGGAUUAGCUAGUAGGUGGGGUAACGGCUCACCUAGGCGACGAUCCCUAGCUGGUCUGAGAGGAUGACCAGCCACACUGGAACUGAGACACGGUCCAGACUCCUACGGGAGGCAGCAGUGGGGAAUAUUGCACAAUGGGCGCAAGCCUGAUGCAGCCAUGCCGCGUGUAUGAAGAAGGCCUUCGGGUUGUAAAGUACUUUCAGCGGGGAGGAAGGCGUUGAGGUUAAUAACCUCAGCGAUUGACGUUACCCGCAGAAGAAGCACCGGCUAACUCCGUGCCAGCAGCCGCAGUAAUAC